rnacentral:rRNA from 1 species
GACAGAGGUGGCUAGCGUUGUUCGGAUUCAUUGGGUGUAAAGGGUGCGUAGGCGGUUUGGAAAGUCAAAUGUGAAAGCCCACAGCUCAACUGUGGAACUGCACUUGAAACUUCCGAACUCGAGUGCGAGAGAGGUGAAGGGAAUUCCCGGUGUAAGGGUGAAAUCUGCAGAGAUCGGGAGGAACACCAGUAGCGAAGGCGCUUCACUGGCUCGUAACUGACGCUGAGUGCACGAAGGCGUGGGGAGCAAACGGG